rnacentral:lncRNA from 1 species
GGGACCCAAACGGCUAUCCCUAUCAUGUGACGACUCCGGAGUGUACUGCUUGUGUGGAGCGACCCACACAAGCUCGAACAGACAUAUGAGUAUGAUCAUAUCCCCAUCAUGAGGAUACCCUACACUCCUAGACAACCCACACUUGGGAAUUAGUUCACUUCUAAGUUCAACAUGCAAUGAGAGUUUUCAUCUACAGCUCUAAGUUCAUCAAUGCCACUGUUCUUGUAUUCAAUGUUUGACUAGAUGGCCCUCGUUAUCAUCUAAGUGUUCUUUAUACACUCUUAGCACUAACUCCCUAGGUUAUCAUUUUCCUAGGUUCAUAUCCACAUAAGCAUAUUCCUUCCUUAUCAACUAUCUUUUCAUUAUAGGGUCUCAAGUCAUUUGACACUAUAUUAAGCAUACUAGAUUCAAGUAUUAGACAAAUUAACUCUACAUUAUUCUACUAGUAUGCAAGAACAUGUAACAAUUACAUUUAGCACCCUACAAUGCAACAUUUCAAUAUGUAAUUGAUCGACAAUAGAACUCAGACAUAAAGAGCAGUCCGACUGCUUCGGGAUGGCACUCCCCCACCUUUAGGUGAUGCCACGAGCCCACGAUCCCGAUUUCGCGAUUUUAGGAAGCUUUCGCCGCGAGCUGCGGCAAUCUGUACCUCAACAAGCCUUUUCUUCAAUAUCUUCGCGUACGCUCAUCGUAUCGCCGAACCGAGCGCACCAACGCGUUCGUUGACCUACCAAUUAGGUUAGAAGGAGAUCAAUCCCAAGAUUAGGACUCAUAAUUACAAAACCCCAUUUUCUAACCCCUAUGGUUUAUCAUCUUUCCCAAAUAGGUCCCUAGACCAUAGAAAUCCAUGAACAACCUCACCAUGACAUCUCCUAGAAGCUAGAUCUAGAAGGAAAUACCAAACCCUAACACCAAAACCAUAAAACCCUCAAAACCUAGGGUACUUAUCUCAAAUGGAAGCUCUCCUCCAAGCUAGGUUGCCAUUAGAGGGUUCCUUCAUCACCAUCCAAGCUUUUCUCCACCAUGGUUUCACCAUUGGAGCACCUCAAGGAGGGAGAGGAAGAGAUCUAGAGAGAGAGAGAGCUCUCAAGUUGGUGUUGGAGAGGAGAGAAAUAAGGGCUAAACCUCAUCUCUCCAACAUAUAAACUCACACAUACACAUUUGCACUUAACCCCCCACACCCCUCAAUGUUUAACACAAUGAUCCAGCCCAAACUGGGCAUUUUCGGGUGCUGGGACCGGUCUCUGGACUUGAGGGACCGGUCCCCGAAGGUCCAGAAAAACAGCAUUUCCAGACUUAGCCAAAUUUUCAGCUUUUUCACCGUUUCUUCUCCGUUUUCUCCCGUUUUCGCUCGUUUGACCUCCGAUUCUUUUCAAAUCGAACCGAGACUCUCCAAACAUAUUUUCGAGCGUAUUUUCAUCAUCUUUUCAUCCACGCUAAUGCUGGAUUUAAUCCAUGGCCUAACAUAGCCUUUCGGGUUCAGUUUUCACUCCUACGCGCACCGAAUCGCCCGGAUGUUCCCGAACUUCACCGAACUUCACCGGAACCUUUCAAAUGGCUCUCCAACCAAAUGUACACCGUAACUUCAUGAUUUUAGAAGUCCGUUACCUUACAGCCUUGUUGCUGGAUCUACCCUUCCGAACGACCUUCAUCCUCGUCGCAGUCUCCUUCGGCAGUCUCCUCAUCGCAGUCUCCUCCCCGCAGUCUCCUCCUCGCAAUCUCCUCCUCGCAGUCUCCUGCGGAAGUCUCCCCUGGCCUAUACCUAUUACCUUAGGCUAUGUGCGCGUGGAAUUACAGACAAGCUUCGAUGAUUACAUAUUUCUGUUAAAUAAUUAUAUUAUGUUCAGUUUGUUAUAGUUGAUGUAAUAGAAUUUUGCAUUGUAGGCAAAUCCUUUUUGUAUUUUGCAAACUUCUAUAAAAUCGUGUACUCGGCUUUAAAGAAAAUGUAAUUCUUGUUCACAAAUUAAUGUAAUCCUUAGGAAUUUGUUACACUAUUUACCAGUUACAAUAUUUACCAAACAAUGUUGAAUUGUUUACAUCAUAGUAUAAUAUAAAUUUCGACCAUUUUUGCACUAUUAUGUUCAUGUUAACACCAAUUCUGUGAAAAUUUUGUGCUACAUAUCGUACUGUUACACGCUUUAGCGGAAAAUCUUGAACUCUUUUGAUCUGAGUUACACCACUUAAAGACUUCUUUAAAUAUAAAUUUCAUUUCACCCCACCUUGCGUUGCACUAUUCUCGGCGUUUAAAGUUGCAGAAUUUUUAUACGUUGUAUCCACCUCUCCAACGCAUCCUUACAAGCUUAGUACGAGUCUUUUUCAAAACAUUGCACUGGUAUUACUAGCGUAUUGCACUGUUACAAGUUUCGUUGCACUCGUUUUUAAAUCCAUUACACUGUUAUUUUCCCGUAUUGCACUCUUACAAGCUUAUUUGCACUCUUUUGAAAAAUAUUGUUCUGUAAUUCACACUGCCUUGCACUAUUAUUCGCGUUUAACUGUGAACUUAUUUAACAGUUAAAAGAAUGCGUGAUAUUUUAUAGGAAAGCUUUACACAAUCGUUUAGCCGUUAUGUCGCGCCUCUCGAACUCCGAACCCCGCCGGCGACCGUCCAGCCCCUCCGGCAAGCUUCCUGGCACGCUGACUCUUAUAUCGCACAUCGCCGACCGCGUACGCCGCAGCGACCGUCCUGCGCCGCCGACGCUUCGCCUGCAUUUGGAGGGGACGUCGUUCUUCUGCACUUUUAAGUUCAGAUUAUAUUAAGAAAUAGAAAAGUAAAAUUUUGACUGGUUAAGAAGAGGUUGCCUAGCGAUGCACUGUUAGAAGGAAAGUUGCACCAUUUUUCCUGGUGUUCUACUUUGCGUUGCACUAUUAUCCUUGUUGCGGGCUGUGUAGAUUUUGUCAUUUAUUGUGAGUAAUUGUAUUAAAGUCUUAAAACCGAACAGGAAACAGCGGGGCCGGCGAAUAGCGGGGGCGGAUGUGGUCCGGGUUCCGAGAAAUGAGCGAGAUUGCGUAAGGCGGAAGCGGCGCAUUUAAUGCGCGCCAGACCGUACGGCAGGGUAGUAGGGUAGUAUACGUAUGUCAAGAAAUACGCGGGAGGCUAUUGUAUAGGAGGGGCAUUUUGGUCAGGCGGCGGAAAAAGCGGACCGAAUCUGCAAAAACGAAAAAGGUGGCCCGGUUUUGCAAAAGCCCAAAAUAAGUGGAUUUUUUAUGCAAAUUGGCCUAGUUUAAUUUGUAUAGAACAUUAUUUAUAAUUUGAUACAAAAAAUAUGUCUAAUAGUUCAAAGUAUAAAAUAAUAUAUAAAAAUUUAUAGUAUUUAAUAUGAAAAAAAAAAUUUAUGAGUUGAAUAUCUAAUCUUUUCAGCCUCACAUGUCUUUUCUUCUGCCUUCAAUCUCAUAUUAUUUAUUUUCAUUUAUGCAGUUAAAAUAAAUAAAUUAUAUAGAUAAAUACUGGAUUAAACUAUCCAAUCAUAUAUAACUAAAAUUAAAUUUUAUAUUGAAUAAUAAUAUUUUACUUUAAAAAUAUUCUGUAUAUUUUCUCAAGUAUAACAAUUAAUAGCAAGAUAGGCAACGACAGGCAUAUACUGGCUACUUGGUAACUUUGAGGGCUUUUGGCAUGGCCGCAUAGGGUGAGAGACAGAAAAAGAGAAAGAGCUAUUGAAAAUUUAGAGCUAUGUGAAGAAGAAAGAAAGGAAAAUGUAUAAAUUUAGUAAAUUUUGUCUUUUAUUUGUCUAUUGGGUUUGUUUUUAUGAGCCAACAAUAUUGGCCUAAUUUUAACUAAACUCAGAUUAUUCAGUCAGCCAUAUAUAAUUAAAAUAUAUUAUAUUUAUAUUAUUUUUAAUAUAUAUUAUAUAUAUAUAAUAUAAUAUAUAUAUAUAUAUAUAUAGGCUGGGGCUACUAUAUUUUUAUGAGUAUAGACCCCUUAUACUCUAAUGAAUGAUGGAUGUGUGGUUAGGAUAGAUGGCGGUCCCCACUUAAAAUGAUAGUGGUCCCUUAGGUGAGUGGGUGUUGUUAAAUAGAUAUAUCUAACGGAUGAAAAUGAUUAAUGGAAUAAAUCUAUGAUCGAAAACUUAUGAGUAUAAGGGAGCCAAUACUCAAUAAAAGAUAUAGUAGCGGACUCUAUUAUAUAUUAUAUGAUAUAUAUAUAAUAUAUAUAUAUAUAAUAUAUAAUAUAUAUAUAAUAUAUAUAAUAUAGUGUAGAAUACUAAUGCUAUCAAAAAUAUAGAGGAUUUGAUGUUUUCGAAUUUUUGACCGUUUAUAGAAUUUAUGGUAGGAUGAUUGCGCUCCCCCUAGGAUUAAAUAAUAUCCCUAAGAUUGAGUGGGCCCUACAAGAUAAUAAUAGUAUUAAUUCGAAGAAAUGAUUAGUUGAUCUAAAAAUCAAAAAUCGAAAGCCCACCAGAUCCUCUAUACUUUCGAUAACAUUUAUAUAUAUAUAUAUUAUAUAUAUAUAUAUAUAUUCGAGCUUUUCGAGCCUAAUUUGAACGAGCCGAGUAAUACUCAAACUCGGCUUGAAAUGAAUUUCGAGCCUUUUUUUUGUUCAAGCUUGGCUCAUUUAAUUUCGAGUCGAGCUCGAGCGAGCCAAAUAUCGAGUCGAACGCGAGCCGGCUCGCUCAUUUGCCAGCCCUAAAUGUCAUAAAGGGGCACUGAGCUCGGGUUAAACGAGAACCUAGUACUAAUGUCAUGAAUGGAACAUAGAUUAUAAAAUGUGUUAACUCAUAAUAAGCUUAAGUGUCAUCAAGAGGCACUAAGCAUAGUGAGUGUUGGAACAUCACUUUGAGACAUUGAACUAGACCUUUGGGAUGCUAGUGACUUUUACCAUGUUAGAGACAUGAUAAUUGGACUUUUGAGACGAUGAUUUUGCUUGCUUAUCAUUUGUGCUCAUUCGCACAUGUUUGUAAGGGUCGCUCCCUACAAGCCGGCACUCCGGAGUUGGCCUACGCGACUUAUGAUCGCUCGUGCGGUAUCGAGAAGCCUACGGGGUCGGGAGGGAUAGACUUAUUUCCAGAGUGGAAAUGCUUGAGCUACCACCGACACUUAGGCGGCGCAAGCCGGACUACACUCGUGUAGGUCCCAAAACAAGAUUGAACUUGGGCAUAACCUCUUAAAUUUGAAUCACUGCUAAAUAGAUCAUAGUAGUUGGAUUAUUGGACAUACUCAUAGUGUGGCUUGAGAUAUUUCUAGAUAUCUUAAACCACUAUGGAUUUCUUUGAGAUUCUUAUUGUACCUUUUUAUGCUUAUGCUUAGUGGACUACUUUACUCCUUCUCUACUUGUUGCUAGAUUUUAGUUGUUAGCAUCUCUGAUAUCUCUAGAUAUUUAUUUCUUCUUACUUUCGCAUCACUUUUGUUAUAGACGCCUUAUAUGCGCAGACAUAUGGCGGGUCUGGGCACGCUGCCAGGAGGGCCUCCGCCGGUCCCGGGGCGUGACAGAUUAAUUUGGUAUCAAAGCUUAGGGUUGAGUCUUAGUGGACCUAGCAAACCUUAGGCCGGUUGAACCAUAGGAUAUAGGCUCGUGAGAGACGAGGUCUAUUUGACUUGUAAGCGAAAGUAUUUCAAUUGGAUUUUAUGAUAACUCUAAAAAGUUGGAGUUGGAUCGGAGUAUAUGGCUUCUAACUCCGUGGAGGGUUACGUUGGCGGCCGAAAACGUAACAUCGAAAAUUAGUUGUGGAUAACACUUUCUUACUUUCGCAUGAUUUGCGUAUUGUUAUUUGAGCGGGGACUCAACAGCGUGGGUUUACUAACUUACGCUUUUAUGAUGUUGUAGUGACGAUGCCGGUUACACGCUCCCAAUUUGCCCGAGCGGACAAUGCGGCGCACCUCGAGGAGGUCGAAACCUCCGCGACUUCCGGAUCUAGCGAGGUUCGCGACUUGAGGUCCCAGUGUCACGCCCCGUAAUCGCUACCACUUUGGCCGGUUCGGGCGCGUCGAUAGACGCCGAACGGACAGCACCUCCCCUGUCCGCCCACGGCUAAACAACGAGAUUGUGUACACAAGUGCCCAGGAAAACAACUUGAUUACAUACACAAUCAAACAAUAAUAGCGAGAGCACAACCAGUGCUAAUUAACCAAAGAGCAAGCAUCACAAGUAAUAAACAAGUGAAUAAAAGAGAGAUACUAAUCUAUUAUAUCCAUACCACAAAAUACAUUUGAUUACAUUUAACUUCCAAAAUAUUAAACAUUAAGUUUACAUUAUCCAAAAUAGCUCACACCCUAUACAUCAUCUACACUCAAAAUGUAAAGGGAUACUACUAAUGCAUUGGGAAAGCAUCUACCAACUAGCACUAGGGCGCUUAGCCCAUACCACAAUCCUCAGCUGGCGCACUCGAACUCGGACCUGCAACAAUGUGGGGUGAGAACUACGAAUAGUUCCCAGUGGGUUCGGCCGCCGACUCCGCCGAUCUCCCCACUAGGUCUAAGCAGGCAUAGAGAGAUAAUGCAAAUAGAUAGAUAGUUGUGCUGAAUUGAAAGCAUUUAUAAUAAACAGUUAGGAGUAUAAAAUGAACAUCUAACUAUGCCUCAAUCUGCAAUGAUGCAUGCAUGAACUACAUAGUAACAGGCUAACUAUCAUACUACUAUGCUCAACCAGGUUACUUAUGUCACACGGGUGAGGAUCCGCUCACUCACCCAACUUACAAUCUAAUCACUUCGGGGAGGAUCCGCUCACUCUCCUGACUCAUAACCUAAACACUUCGGGGAGGAUCCGCUCACUCGCCCGACUCAACACACACACUCUCUACGGGGAGGAUCCGCUCACUCGCCCGACUCAUAACACACACACACUCUCUACGGGGAGGAUCCGCUCACUCGCCCGACUCACAACACACACACACUCUCUACGGGGAGGAUCCGUUCACUCGCCCGACUCACAACACACACACACACUCUCUACGGGGAGGAUCCGCUCACUCGCCCGACUCAACACACAUAGGUACGACAACCCAAUCUCAACUCAUAGGUGAGGAUCAGCUCACUCACUCGACUCACCUGGGGAGGAUCAGCUCACUCGCCCAAGACUAUUUGCGGGACCCUAACGGCUAUCCCUCGGAAUCCAAAUGGCUAUCCCUAUCAGGUGACAACUCCGGAGUGCACUGCUUGUGUGGAGCGACCACCCCAAGCUACGAACAGACAUAUGAGCAUGGUCAAAUCCCCGUCACUGAGGAUACCCUACCACUCUAGACAACCACACUUGGGAACUAGUUCACUUCUAAGUUCAACAUGCAAUAAAUGUUUUCAUCUAUACUCUAGGUUCAUCAAUGCAACUCGUUCUGUGUUCAUAGUUAACUAAAUGCCACUCAUUAUCAUCUAAGUGUUCUUUAUACACUCUUAACAAUAACUCCCUAGGUUGUCAUUUUCCUAGGUUCAUAUCCACACUUAUACAUACAUUAUGUCAUAUAGGGUGAAACUAUACUAUUCCAAACUCAUGCACACUAGGUUCAAGUGUUAAAUCCACAACUACACUACCAUAGCAUGCAAAUAUCUACAUUAUCACUCAAGCACCCUAUAUGCUACAUGUUCAAUAUGCAAAUAAUCAACAUUAAUAACUUAGACAUAUAUAGGGAGCAGUUCAACUGCUUCGGGAUAGUCACCACCCACCUUUCAACGAUGUUGGGGUUCUAGAAAUGUUACUCGGCACUUGCUAUGACGUCGCUUCGCCCUCCAAGGUGUGAACGAAGCCCGACCGGUCUUGUUUCGCCGAUAUCUUUCCAACGGCUCAACGAAUGCUAAAUCCGUCUUUGCCCACGCGUUUAGACACCUAUCAAUUAGGUUUACAACCACUCAAUUUAGAUCAAAACUCUAGAUUUCCAAAAACCCCAUUUUUAACCCUAGGUAUAACCAAUGCAAAAAUCUCUCAUUGGAGCUCUAGAUUCAUGCAUAAUCUAUCUAUU